rnacentral:tRNA from 1 species
GCCGAGGUGGCGGAACUGGCAGACGCAGAGGACUCAAAAUCCUCCGCCCGCAAGGGUGUAGGGGUUCGACUCCCCUCCUCGGCA